rnacentral:piRNA from 1 species
AACUGUGUUAGAGUACGGGUGCGGCU